rnacentral:rRNA from 1 species
GGCGACCGGCGCACGGGUUGAGUAACACGNUAUCCAACCUGCCGAUGACUCGGGGAUAGCCUUUCGAAAGAAAGAUUAAUACCCGAUGGCAUAGUUCUUCCGCAUGGCUAGAACUAUUAAAGAAUUUCGGUCAUCGAUGGGGAUGCGUUCCAUUAGGUUGUUGGCGGGGUAACGGCCCACCAAGCCUUCGAUGGAUAGGGGUUCUGAGAGGAAGGUCCCCCACAUUGGAACUGAGACACGGUCCAAACUCCUACGGGAGGCAGCAGUGAGGAAUAUUGGUCAAUGGACGAGAGUCUGAACCAGCCAAGUAGCGUGAAGGAUGACUGCCCUAUGGGUUGUAAACUUCUUUUAUACGGGAAAAAAAUGAGGCACGUGUGCCUUUUUGUAUGUACCGUAUGAAUAAGGAUCGGCUAACUCCGUGCCAGCAGCCGCGGUAAUACGGAGGAUCCGAGCGUUAUCCGGAUUUAUUGGGUUUAAAGGGAGCGUAGGCGGACGCUUAAGUCAGUUGUGAAAGUUUGCGGGCUCAACCGUAAAAUUGCAGUUGAUACUGGGUGUCUUGAGUACAGUAGAGGCAGGCGGAAUUCGUGGUGUAGCGGUGAAAUGCUUAGAUAUCACGAAGAACUCCGAUUGCGAAGGCAGCUUGCUGGACUGUAACUGACGCUGAUGCUCGAAAGUGUGGGUAUCAAACAGGAUUAGAUACCCUGGUAGUCCACACAGUAAACGAUGAAUACUCGCUGUUUGCGAUAUACAGUAAGCGGCCAAGCGAAAGCGUUAAGUAUUCCACCUGGGGAGUACGCCGGCAACGGUGAAACUCAAAGGAAUUGACGGGGGCCCCGCACAAGCGGAGGAACAUGUGGUUUAAUUCGAUUGAUACGCGAGGAACCUUANCCCGGGCUUGAAUUGCAACUGAAUGAUGUGGNAGACAUGUCAGCCGCAAGGCAGUUGUGAAAGGUGCUGCAUGGUUGUCGUCAGCUCGUGCCGUGAGGUGUCGGCUUAAGUGCCAUAACGAGCGCAACCCUUAUCGAUAGUUACCAUCAGGUUAUGCUGGGGACUCUGUCGAGACUGCCGUCGUAAGAUGUGAGGAAGGUGGGGAUGACGUCAAAUCAGCACGGCCCUUACGUCCGGGGCUACACACGUGUUACAAUGGGGGGUACAGAAGGCAGCUACACGGCGACGUGAUGCUAAUCCCUAAAGCCUCUCUCAGUUCGGAUUGGAGUCUGCAACCCGACUCCAUGAAGCUGGAUUCGCUAGUAAUCGCGCAUCAGCCACGGCGCGGUGAAUACGUUCCCGGGCCUUGUACACACCGCCCGUCAAGCCAUGAAAGCCGGGGGUACCUGAAGUGCGAACCGCAAGAG